ensembl:lncRNA LINC00658 long intergenic non-protein coding RNA 658
ACCGCUCUCCAAGGACUCUCGAGCAGCUCCAUCUACAGAUUCACAUGGAGAAGAAUUAAGGGUUCCUGCCAAUCACCAGCACCACUUUGCCAGCCUUGUAAGUGGGCCACCUUGGAAUUGGAGCCUCCAGUUCCUACUGACAUCUGACUGCAACAUCAUGAGAGACCCUGAGUUUGAACCACCCAGCUGAGCUGCUUCUGAGCUAACCCACUGAAACCGUGAAAGUACCUGAAUGAAACAACACCCAGUAGCCACUAGCACACCUAGCUCCCAGAUCUGUUUUUGAUGCCAUUCUUCAGUAAAAGGAAGCAAGGCUGCUUGGAGAAAUUGCUAUCAAGGACUGGGGUAGAAAAUAUACAAGAUGAAAUUGGAGCAUCUUGUAGUGCUUGAAAACAGUUGGCAUCUGUGUGAAGAUGUGAAUGGAGGAGGCAGAGUAGGCAGUGAGUGCCGCAGCCACAGCUUGUGUUCUCUGCAGCCCUGGCACAGAAGAUAGGAACACUCAUGGGGGAUGCGGCCACUGUGAUGUCUUCCCACACAAGAAGUGCCAAGUGCUUUUCUCAUGCUUUUCUGGAUUGUCCCAUGGUGGACGAGUCAGCAGGAGCCAGGAUAUCGUUGUACAUAUUCUCAGCUAAGUGAGCACCAAUAGAGGAGAGGGAGAGUCUCAUGGAAGUUCCUUCUAAGCCUUUGGCUCUUUUUACCUUCAACAAGGUGUGCCACCUCUUUGAUCCAGCAAGUGGGAAGAACAGUCCCGGCCUCUUUGCACACAAGACCGUGAUACCAAUGCACCAUCACAGGCCCCACAGGGGAGCUGUCCGCUUCCCCACACAGCUGCUAGGGGCUCUUUUGCAUGUUCCCAACCUUUCCUGCCUUUAUCUGAUAUUCGUUCCUUAGAUCCUGGGAUGAGGAGGUGGACCAGCAGAAGGUGGGCUUGUGAAGGCAGCCCGGGGUCCAAAUCCUCCUGGCUCUUCAGCUUAGCGGGUUAGUUAACAUUCAGAAGCCUUCAUCUCCCAUCUGCAAAAUGGGCAUGUCCAACUCAGAAGCUGCCUUGAAGAAAGGGUCUACCCAGCAUGGUGCGUGGAGCCUAAGCAGUCAGUACUUCAGGACUUCACCCGGCCCCUUUCCAAUAACUGCUGCUGUCGCCCUCACAGGAUGUCACCUUCAGCGUCUGAAAGCUGGGUUUGAUGCGUCUGGAAAGGCGUCCCUGACAGGCGUCGUUGCCAGGAGCCCCUAGUGCCACCAGCAGCCAGCAGGGGAGGGCGUCCUCUGCCCGCUCACUUCUGACCCUUCUCUCGUUGCACCCGGAACAUGGUGCAGCUGGGAGCAGCCUGGGCUGCGCGGAAGGCUCAGAUUUGGGGACGGCCCUUGCCAGUGACUGUGAGCUGGGGUGUCUUGGAAACUCCCAGUCUCAGCUUCUCCAUUUAUAAGAUGAGAAUGAUCAUACCAGACUCAGGCAAGGUUGUUUGUGCAUUAGUGAAAUCAGACGUAUUAAAUAAAGUACCACAUUGAUCG